GUUACUGUUCCAUACUAGUUCUCAAACUAUUUGCAUGUUGAUCUGGAGUGGUCCGUGAGUUUCCUUAAGCUUCUCCAACCUGGAACCGCAGAUAGCAUACCAUAGUGAGCCUUCGAUAGUCUCUCCUAGAGCCCAGGAAAUCCACCUCCACACCAAUACUCACCACAGCCUUCACGAUGAGAAGAUCUAUGUGGAGGUAUGUCUCCGUUUGCUCUGGCUGGCAUACCAAUGCCAUAGACUUAAGGCAUAAUAGAAAUUAUAUGCCAGUUCUUGAGGCUGAAAGGUCCAAGGUCAAGCUCGGCACUUGCAGAUUCAGUGUCUGGAAGAGACUAUUUCCUGGCUUGCAGAUGACUAGCUUUCCAUAUCUGUUAGGCUCCAAACCAGGGACCCAUAACCCUAACUGUUAGUAUACAGACAAUUCCAUGGCCUGCCCUCAGGGACCUAGCAACUGCUUACCUCAUCACUUGCUGUAGCCAGCUGGGCCAGGUCUGUUGCAGCCACCCCAGAUCUCUGUCUCUGCAGUCCCUCUUUGUUCAGACUCUCCUUUUCUGCUCCCCUCUCUCUGCCUCCCUGUCUACAUGGCGAUUUCCCUGGCCUCCUUUUCUGAGACCAGUGAACUUGCCCAAGAGCUGCCCCCAAUAAACCAGCUUUUAUACUUUUAGUUGGGCUUGAAUUGGCUUAUUUCAUCAGCGGGAAAAACCUAUUAAUAUUCCCACAUGGUAGAUGGGGGAUUUUAAUAAGGGUAUUAAUCUAAUUCAUGAAGGUUCUACCUCUACUUAAUCACACUGACCUUCCAAGUGUCCUCUAAAUACCUCUAAAUGCCUUCACCAGGGGACUAAGGCUCAAUAUAGGAAUCUGAUGUAUGGAAGGGGAGGUACCAUUCAGUGCUCCACAUCACCAAACAUAUUUCACUGAAUUUGAAAAAAAUCAAAUAAGCAUUUCAGGUUUUUCAGUCUUGUUUUAUUAUUUUAUGUUUUCAUAUGUGUGCAUGCAUAUAGACAUGUGUGUAUGUAUGUGUGAGAAAAAUAGAUUGUAGAUAGGUAGAUAGAUAGGAAGAACCUUACUAUAUAGCCAGCCUGGACCUCACUAUGUAGACCAGUCUGGCCUUCUACUCACAGAGAUCUGCCUGCCCCUGCCUCCUGAGUGCUGCCAUCAAAGGUGUGUGCCGUCACACAUGGCUACUUUUUAUUUUUAAUUAUCUGUAUAUGUGAGGGGGGGCUUGGGGAGUCCAGGAGAGGGUGUUGGAUCCUCUGGAUCUGAAAUUAUAGGUGGUUUUGAGCCACUUGAUGGGGGUGCUGGGAACAGAACUCAGGUUCCCUGCAAGACCAACAUAUACUCUCGGCUGCUGACAUCGCUUUCUGGCCUUGAGGUCUUGCUUGUGAUAAGGAGGACGUAUCCACCCAGAGGAGAUUUACCGUGUGAAACAUGAUCGGGGCAUCCGGUGGUGUGGUGAAAAUGGUGCUGAGCUCUUCAGCCUGGGGUGCAGAAAUGCACAGCCAAGGACUCUUUUGUUUUCACAUGUGUUCACAUAUGUAUGCUAGAGUACAAUCAGUGCACAUGCCACCAUGUGCGCACAUGCGUGUGUACAUGUACGCAGAGGUGGGGAGUCAAUGUUGGGUGUCUUCCUCACCACUCUCCACUUGACUUUUUGGGACAGAGUCUCUCACUGAACCUGGAGUUCAGCGGCUCACCUAGCAGGGCUGGCCAGCAGGCUCCAGAGAGGCUCAGGACUCUUCCUCUCGGAUGCUAGCAUUGCAGGUGCACUCUCCCACACCCGGCUUAUUCAUGGACUCUGGAUAUCUGAACUGAGGUCCUCAAAUUUGUGCAGCAAAUGCUUUACUGACUGAGCCAUCUCCCUGGUCUAAAGGAAUCUUUCGAAGACAUAAAUUUCUGCCUGGCAGUGGUGGUGUAUGCCUUUAAUCCCGGCACUCAGGAGGCAAAGGCAGGCGGAUCUCUGUGAGUUCAAAGCCACCUCUGUCUGCAGAGUGAUGUAGGACAUAAAACCAUGCCGGGAAGGGGUUGGGGAUUUGGCUCAGUGGUAGAGCGCUCGCCUAGGAAGCGCAAGGCCCUGGGUUUGGUCCCCAGCUCCAGAAAAAAAGAAAUUAAAAAAAAAAAAAAAAAAAAAAAAAAAAAA